UCUUCUAAUUUUUCACGUCUCCUUCCCUCGUUGCUACUUUCGAGGUCUCAUUCCGUUUCCUCUCGAGAGCACUUUUAUUUUUCAAUCCUCACUCUCAUUUCUCUCCAUUUCGAUUUCCUGGCGUCUUCCGAGUGAGAUCUCCUUGUCGCACGCAGUUCAUCAUCACGGUAAUCCUUCUUCACUCACAGAAUCAUCUCCAUUUCCACUAUCCUUCAUUUUCCAUCGAAUCAUUCCCUCUGUCGGGGUUUCUUCUCCUUUUCACCAUUUCCCUUCGAUUCCACCGAUUAAAACCUUGUUUUCACCAUUAGAAACCUUUUCCACCGAUUCAACUUUGAUUUACACCGAUCAAUUGGUCGAGAAUAGGUUUCCUUCUUCUUCUGGGUUUCUAUCAAGUUUAAUACUCUGUUUCUUGUUCUUCUUCGAGUUUUUGUCAUAUUUCCGCUGCUUCUUCUCUCUGGAAGUCUUCUCUCUCGAAGAAACUUCGAGGAUUCGCGUCGCGCCUACAGUCAUCUUCUCGGAACCACUCUUCCAUCAGUAGUUAUAGUUCACAUUCUUCUCUGUAACACUUUCCCCCCUCUUUAUCCUGUUAAUUUAGUUUUCAUGUUGAUUUUUGAAGAACAAAAAGAUCUCGUGCACGAGAAUCUGCUUCAAAUUUAAAUCUGUGUUAAAUUUAUACACUUUUGUUGUUUUCCCAACAAGUAGAAGCUGCCAAGGGGUUCUUAUCGGUGUUAAGGACUUAUUUGGAUUCCCUUUGCCAUAACAUUCCUUCUCAUACAAUAACCAAUGUACAAUCCAAUGAUGAUAAGGUCCGUGUUUUCUCUUAACAGCAAAAAACACUGCAUUUUUAUGGGUAAUCUAUAUAUUUUUUCCAAUUGUUUCUAAUGUCUCACCUUCUGAAAAUUAGGAUUUAAUCAAAGGGCCUACACUUAUACAGUGGUUAGAUUUUAAUGAUCAAUUGAUUUGGGUCUUGAAGGGUAGGAUUGUAAAAAUACAGCUUAAAUUUAUUGGAAUAUGUUGAAGAUUAAAAAUACAGCUUGACGAAAAGCAUUGGAGAUUUAGAUUUAGAAUAUGUUGAAGAUAGCUGUGGGCAAGACAAUUUUGGGGAAGAUUCAGAAUGCAUGUUGGUGAAUGAUAGAAACCAAAAGUACUAUUUGUUUUGUUAUGUAACUUAUACUUUCAUUGUUUCCCUUCCUUCAAUAAAUGCCUUACAUAUUCUGUGUAAUUAAGGACUUCCAAUUCUACAAUUCUACUCCUAUUAGUGUGUCACGGCAAAGACUUUUGGAAUAGAAGACUUUUGCGUAAGAGAAACAAGUAGAAGACUUUUGGAAUAGAAGAAACCAAUCCAUUUGAAGACCUUUUCGAAACUUUAGUGAAAAUAACAUCAUUGAAGACUAUUAGAGCAAACCGAUUUACAUCAAACUCAUAAUUCUCUUCUGGCUGAGGAGGAGGCAACUGCAUUAUCUACAUGGGCUGUUGGGUGCAUGUGUGGUACCUUGAGACUUGAAAAUGCUAAGUUGUCUGCUGGUGGGGAUGAUGCUCGGAAAGAACGGGAAGUUGUUGUCCUGGCCCUUGGUGCCAUAGCUGAAGGUUGCAUCAAUGGUCUGUUGGAGGGAACAUGUGCAAUUUGCCUGAAUUCCAUGAAACCAGGGCAGGGACAUGCCAUAUUAUAUAUCUAUCUCAUUUUAGGCAAGCUCUUCAGUUGCACAAGAGUGACCCUGGACCAGUCAUUCUAGACAUUAUUAAUACAAUUGAAGGUGGCCCUCCAGUUGAUGUUUCAGUUGUUCGUUCUAUGUGUUGUUCCAAAAUGAGAGGUAACGUGUUUCUGCUUCAUAUUAUUCAGAGCAUUUUGAAUUAUAGGUCGUGAUUUUAUAUUUUUUGGCGUUUUUUCUUUUCCUUUUGUGCCUCUCAUCUUUCUUAGUACCGAGCAAGAUAAUGAGUAUCUUCUGGGUUUAUCACAAGCAUAAAUGUGAUGGCGGAAGUGGAUGUCCCUGGUCAUGCAACAUCAUGGGGUGUUGGAUAUCCUGAUCUUUGGCCAUCACCCUUCUGUAAGUAGCCACUAGAUGUUUCGAAGAAGUUUACUUUCGAUGUCCUGUCUGGUAUUCAAACAGAUAUGAGAAAAAUAUUCCCAUUUGAACUAUUUCACUUGGGUGGUGAUGAAGUGAAUACAGAAAUUGAUCCACAAAAAUGAGGAGGCUGGAAAGGAAGAGAAUGUGAAUUCCAGGCUUAGCUUGUGUUGUAUAUUGAGAGCAGCUAAGCUCAACAUUGCAGAUUUUUUCAAAGAACUUCCACAGUUUGUUGUUAAGGCUGGUCCAACUUUAACUAACCUAUAUGGAACAUAUUGGGAAAACAGGCUGGAGUCAAGGGGUUCAACUCGGGAUGGUACUGGAGUUCACGACAGCAUAGUAAAUCAGCUUCUGACUAAGUCUCUCUGCAUCAUCUCUUCGAACGUUCUCUUCCCUAAUUUCUCAUCCCUUCGAUCGAAGAGGUGAAGCUAGUGGGGGAUAGCGAAAUCACGCAAUGGUGGUGGCUCGUGGCUGUUUCCGAUGGUGGAAUUCGUGAUUUGGGCGAAAGGUGUAGCGGUGGUGGAGCGAACUCGACGGAGUUACCGCGGACAUUGCGUUGGCACUGUCUACACCUGCGACGACUCCAGGUGUAGAUUGUAGAAAAUUGACUAUAAUGUAAUGUAGGUUAAUGUUAUAGUUGGAUUUAAUAUAUGGUUUGAUGUACAAAUAAUGUAUUAAAUAUUAUUACACAAUUUAAUGUUUGAAAUGAAUUUCAUUAUGUUAA